UAUUUUUCUGUUGGCAUCUUGAAUAUGUCACACUUCUUUCUCUGCACUUAGGCACUGCUAAUGAAGUUCCAUCCAUCUAGAUUACUGCUACCCUUACUACUCCUCUUACCCAUUUCAACUAAGUAAUUUUUUAUUCAUCUUUCAUAUAUUUUGGCUUCAUGUUCAUAGAGAAACCCUAAACUAGAAUUGGGGCUUUCAACUCUCACAGAGCACACACUGCCUUUUAAAACACCUAUCACAGAUCAGCAUUAUGGAGUUCUUUAUAGUCUCCGUCAGACAGGAGAUGUCCUGCUUGCUUUUAUAUUCCUACUAUACAGUGCAUAAUAAGGGCUCAAUAAGUAUUUGUUGAAUGAAAGAAUGAAUGUGUUUAGUUAAUACUUGAAACUUGUUUCUUGUUUGUGCCUCUGGAGAUGCAUCUAGACUUGAUGUUGUCCUGAUUCCCAGUGAAUACCCUGUGCAAAGCACCAGCUCAUCCCUGUUAGACACAGGCAAACUCCAAAUGAAAGAACUUGUUAGCUCAGUGACUGAGGAAGAGGUUGGGUGCUCUGUGCCAGGUGGGACCCUCAGUGGAGCCAUAGUUGCCUUCUGGUGCAGUGAUUCCUCUGGGUCCUCAGCUUCUUGGGUAUCCUGGACUCUCAUAUCUUCCUUCUUUUCAUCACAGGCUCCUGUACCCAUCCCUCUUUCCUCUGCUCUUUCCCCAGUAACUGUGUUUGGUCUGCCUGCCUUUCCUGACUGCAGGGCCUGCAGGGCAUCUUACUCUCUAAGCUCCUCUUUGGAGUAUCUGUGCCUCCCUGGACUGUGAAUUCUGUUCUUCCUGGGCCUUAAUUUCAACUGCUGCCUUCAACUGCCAUCAGAACGUUCCAUCCUUAACAUUCUUAGGGGUUGGUGCCCCGGUUCUGCAGCUAGGAGAUUAAAAGUCUCUGAAGACAGGGUCUGACUUCACCCCGGGGAGUGGGCUCAGUCUCCACUUAGUACACACUUGCCAUAUGAGUGCGUGGUUAUUUGAUUUUUUUUAACCAAACUUUCAAGACAGUUCUGGCCAUAUGCAUGACAUCUUUUCCAAGGCUUCACUAUUUUGCCGAGAAGAAACCUCUUAUGGACACAUUGGAUGACCCUGCCAAGAAAAGUGGGGUCCAAAUCUUCCUGCUAUUUUACUUGGCCCAAUCCCCUAGGCAACCCAGGACAUUAUGCUGCAGGUGCCCAGAUGCAGCCCCCACUUUAAGGUGGCAGAUACUUCUGCUUCUAUACUCUUAGGGCUGAGGCCAGGUCUUGGAGAAGGAAGGAAGGCCCUAAUGACGGCCCAAAGAGACAGUGAAAAUAUGUCAUUUACGAGGGCUUCCCCUGAGGUUGCAAAUGUAUUUAACUCUUAAGAAACAUGAACUCAUACCACACCACCCAUAAUGUCUUAGGCUUCACCAGCUCUCUUCUGGGCUUCUGUCUCUACUGGGAAAAUUGGGGGUCUUUCCCUUAGUUUUCUCUUUAAUAAAGCCCAGAUGUUUAGUAUGUGGCAGCCAGAGAACCAUCUAAUUAAGAGCUGCCCCUGGGCUCUAGUGCUUACUCUGCCACCUCUUGGUACUGCUGGAACAAGUCAGUUUAAUCUUAUUCAUUCAUUCACCUACUUUUUUUUUUUUUAAUACUUAUCUAACACCUAUAUACCAGUCAUUAGCUAGGUACUGGGGAUUAAAAAAAAAGGGUCAGGUAAACAGAAGUGGACCUUCACCCUCGGAAAGCUCUUGGGCUGAUGGUCAGCCUACAUGCAGGGAGCAGGUUUUGAGGAUCAUAUGGCUGGAAUGAAAGAAUCAGACAAGUCUUCUAGCUGAGGACAUGAAAGGAAGCCAAGAUACUCCGAGAAACUGAAGAGCAGGUUCAGAAUUUUAGCUUUUAUCCUAGAAGACUUGGGGAGCCAUUGACAGAUUUUGCACAGAGGAAGUCAAUGAGUGCAUUCGGAUUCUUUUAAAAGAGAAGAUAGUAGCUGCUGUAAAGAGAAGAUGAGAGGGGAGACUGAUCAGGAGGCCCCCUGGGCAAUGGAGGGGGUUAAGGCAGAAGUGGCUUUGAAAAUUAACCUGGAUUGAGGAAAACUGAUAGGCUGUGGGGCUCAGGGAUCCCUUGAGGUGAGAGCAAACCCUGGAGGAAGGCUCAUCUGUAGAGUAAGAUCCUCAGUGUUAAGUUUGGGGCAUGCUGAAUUGAGAUGACUUUGUUAGGAGGGAAUAUUUGGGUAGGGAGCUCAUGAGAGCUGUCUGACCUGUAGGUCAAAAUUGGUGAGUCUUCUGCCACAGGCCUGGUGAGCUUACCAAGCAGAAAGGCUGGAAAAGAGUGAGUAUGGUUGGGGUUGGGCAAUGGAGACUGAACUCUUGAUGAAGGAUGAAGAGGGAAACCAGAGAAGUAGGAGGGAUACCAGGAAAGUGUGGUGUUCCUACAGUCUUGAAAGAGUGUCUCCUUCUUACCCCAGUGAUUUACACUUCGGAGAUGAUCCUCACCCACAUGUCUCCUUUACGCUGGGUAUGAGAUAUACAGAAGGUAUGACCCCUGAAAAGGGCCCAGGAGGCAGGAGGACAGGGCUCUGGCAAACUACAUUAGAUUUGGUGGCAGUGAGGGGAGCCUAUGAGGGGUAGGGCAGGCAUGGAGAAGCCCCUGGAAGUCAGAGGUUGGGUGGCAGCAUUUUUUCUGUUUGCAGGACCUUGGGUCCAGGAGGUUAUAAAGAAAGGGAAUAGUGAAGCCAGAAAAUUAAGGAGUGGCAGCAGAAACGGAGAAGGAGAAGAGUGGUCAGUCAUCGGGAGAGUGAGGUCAGCAAUACUGCCAGAACACACAUAUCCUGCCAUGUCUUGAGCCGCAGCUCUUUUGUUUUCUUUACCUGGCAUAGUAGUGUUUCCUAGAGAGGCAAGAAACAGGGGUUUGUUUGUCUAAAAGGUAGGAGAAAAGUCAGAGGGAAGGAGAGGCUAGAAUCAGAGAGACCAGUAAGUGUCUUUCUGGAGAUUCCAAGAAGGGAGCCCGCCAGGGCUGUAGGAUUGCUACUGGAAAUGCAGGAGGGCUUCAGGAGGGUCUCUGAAAUUCACUCACUCCAGUCUUUUUGGAUCUGCCCAGAGCAUCCAAGGGGUUCAGAGAAAAGAGCAUAUGGAGAGACAGGUUAACAGAAGCCUGGAAGGACCAGUGGAAGUCAGGAGUGGGGACAGCUCCAGCAGACAGAGGCAGCCCAGCAGUGACCCUGUGCCAGCCCCUGGGCAGCAUGGAGGAACUUGGCAGCAAGGCUCCUUUCUAAGCACUGAAUUCAGCCAUCAUUUUGUGUCUGGUCACUGCAGAAAGGCCCCAACCUGAGUCCCUCUUGGUGAAUCCUUCAUGGAGGCUGUGCAAUCCUGUAAAGGUGCAGGCUCGAGGCCCUGGCUGCAGAGGUGGUGGUGGUGGUGAUAGGGGGCAGGGCAGGGGCAGAAAGUGCUCACACUUUGAGACCCACUUUGGGGUGUGGCUUCCUGAAGCCCUCCAAGGCUGGACACGUUGUGACAAAGCAAAAGAUUUUCAGGGGGCAACAGAAGACUCAUUAUCAGCACCAGAGGAGGCCAUCAUGGCCUUUAAGGAAUAAUUUUAAAGCGGUUUUUCAAAGGCUGGGCAGCCAAUAGUGCAUCUCCAGCCCUCAAUUUCUCCCUUUAGUAAAACGGGGACAGUAAAGUCAUCCCUAACCCCACAGAUUUGUUGUGAGGGGCUCAUGAGUUAAUUUAUGUAUUGAAUAGUUAGAACUGUCAGAUACAUCAUAAAUGCCAAAAUGCUAGUUAAUAUUGCUACAAUUUUAUCAGGCAUUGCCUAUUUAUUGAAAUUUUAUUAAAAUGCUUGGACUUUGUAUACACAAACCGCACCUCCCAUUGAUGUGGCCCAGGAAGUGUACAUUUCAUGUUGAAGACUAAAAGCAAUGGUAAUAUUCCCUUUUAGAACUACUUAGUAAGACAGUUAAGAAAAACUGUUUCCCAAGAGUGGCAGGGAUACAGAAUUAGGAAUCAGAAUAUCACAGAUAUUUAUUGGCACAUCUUUCUUGUGCUGGGACUAGUGGCAGGGGUUGGGAACUGAGUGGCCCAUGAGUUAGAGAUGACACUUGCAUAAAUGGAAUUGAUUUUGGGGAUGAAAGAUGAAAAAAUAAAUAAAAAAUUAUAAGCUAUGAUUAAUACUGUGAAGGAAAUAAUAUUGGGAACAACAGGAUUGGGGUUUCCUACUUUAUGUCCUGGAAAUCUCUGAUGAGGUCAUAUGAAGUGUUGGACACCCAAAGUGGGAGUGGGGAUGUUUGAGAAGUAGGGAAAGUGUUUUGGAUAGAAUAUGGUCUCCUUUUCUGAUUUGGUGACCUUAGGCUUUGCAAACAUCAGUUUCUGCAUUUGUAGAACAAGGAUAUUCCUACCUAUCCAGGUGAUUGCACAGAGCUGGUGUAAGGACGAAAUGAAAUGUUAACCAUAGAUGGAGGCACAAACUCCCAAGUUGACUCAUGAGGAAAGAACUCACUGCUUCACUCUCAUUUGUUUCUACCUGUUAAAUUUUGUUCAUGUGUACAGCAUGAUCUAAUGCAAAGACAUAUUUUUGGGAAGGACUGUCCCCCCAUUAAGUUUCAGAAGAAGAGAAGCAGACAUGCUUUGCUCUGGGUGCUCAGAAAUGUGAGUUUCAACUAGCACAUCCUCAAUAAGUGUUUGACAAGUUGAAGGACCAAAGAUGGGAUGUAUCCUGGGGAAGCACCGCCAGACUGUCCCUCUGCUAUAACAGGGAUCUCUGAGAUCAGGAUCUAAACCUGUGGAUUUUCAGAAGCAUCUUAUUUUACAUACACAGUAAAACAAGCGCUAAAAAUGAUCGAAUCUGAGAACAGCUCUCUUCUGGGAAAAUGGCCAGACUCCCAGGCUGGACAGUGGUCAUUUCUGCAUUCGCUCUACUUCAUGUGAAACUAUGGACAGUGACAUCCUGGCUGCUAGUGAUUGCAGAGGGCCACUGAAAACUGUAGUCACCAUUGGCCAGUGCUGAUAGUUUCAAAAUGGGGUUCUGUGUGUUGUGUUGGUGAUUUUGAGAAAAUUUGGGAAGAAACAAAUGUCACCUAGUUGGUGAAGAAGUGGCUCACAGCCAUGGGCUGGUCAUGUCCUGCUAGACUUUUUUUCAGUUGCAUUAUCAUCUCAAAGGACUGAAGCCACUCAAGCAAGACUUCCAAGUGAUGGGCCAUCUCUCAUGUGACCUUCAGCCUCAGUUGGUGGCAGGGUUCUGGACUUAGCAGGAAAUGCUAUUCACAGAAAAAGAGAACAAACCCAGCGAACCCAGCGUCUUGUGGGAGAAAGACUUCACAUUGUACCAACGAAGAGGUCUGAAGGAAGAGGCAAAGUGAGUGUGCAGAGCAUCUCCCUCCAGCAGGGCUGGGAGCAGGUGGUGGCUCUGACUUCACUCUGAGCCCAUAUGAAUGGCCGUCCUGUUUGCUGAGACUUGUCCCUUCCCCACUCCCCGCCACCACCAAUGUGGUCACUGCGCAGAUUGCAAAUGUGAGCUUUCAUCUUGGAGUACACUGAAUAUGUGAUUUUUAUCUAAUAAAAGUGGUAUUUCCAAAUCAGUGAGGAAAAUGUAAAUCAUGCAGUGAUUGAUACAGAAAUGAACUCAUCACUUUUUCCCCAGUGCCUGCUUGGGGGCAGGCCAGGCACAAUUCCAAGUGCUAAAAACCAGCGUGUGAAAAAAACAGAUGAAGUCUUUGAAGUCUUGAGAACAUGUGCUCUCAUUUUAUAUAGUAAGAACUAGGUGAGACUAUUCGGUAAAUUCUGGUUCCUCUUUGCUUAGCAAUUCCUUCUUGAGCUCAUUUUUCCCUUCUUGAGCUCAUUUUUCCCUUCUUGCCUUUGUCUAUACCUGGUCCAGAGAAAUCCAGUGCUCCUUCAAUAAUUUAGAAGUCUCCUCCACUAAAUGUCUGGUUUCAUCACAUGCAAGUUCUAUCUUCCACAAAAUAUUAGAGUACAAAGACAAUUCAGCUGAGUCUUUGCCACUUUAUAAUAGGCAUGGGCUUUGACAUUGUCCAAUACCAUGUCCAUCAUUUCCUUAUGAGGCUUUGUCAGAAUGGUCUUUAUCAUCCAUGGAUAUAUGCACAUUCUGGGAGAUGAGAAGACGCUUUCUCUAUAGCUCUUUGAUUCUCAGCCCUUUCCUCGAUUGCUUUCAACAGUCCCUACAUGGCCACAUUGGCUCUUUCUCACAGCAUCUCAAAGCUCUUCUGACCUCUACCCAUGUUUUAGUCAACUUUUUCACUGCUGACAGUGCUGCAACCCGACUGGGCACAGAAUCACAAGCCGCUCGAGCAGAAACAAAGUUUUUUUUUUAAAAAGGCCGCCAGUGAUCCGUGUGCCUCCCGCUAGCAAGCCGGUCCACCCAUGUGUGUUCGUCUACCGGAACCGGGGGCCUGCACCUCCCCCGGAAAUACCCUCCUACCAUCCUUCCCCAACCAAUGGGAACUCUCCUGGAGUCCCGGAACAUGAGUCCUGUAACAGGCCGGGGUGAACAGCAGGAGUCCAAUUUCCAUAUGAAUGUAAAUCUUAACAUAAUCAUAUCAUCUCAAUGGCUAGCUGGCAGUCACCUAAAACAA